UCUCUCUCUCUCUCUCUCUCUCUCAUUCCCGUUCUCUGGUUUCUCACUCGCGCUCUUGCAACGCCGAGAGAGCGAGGAGCACUCUCGUCUGCGACUCGAGGCCGUCGCGACGCGCAACGACGACCCGCGCCAAUCCGCUUCGCGUCGCGUCGCCUCUGUGCACGGUGCAUGCUGCACGUGCAUCCCGCUGCGGGACAAAUUGCCGAUCCGUGCACGAUCCCCAACGGAUCGACCGAUCGCGAACGAUCCCCGGAAAAGAGCCGGCAACUCGAUUCCAGCCAGAUUUUUCGUGGCAAACGGUUUCGCUGAUUAAACCGUUCAUAAAGGAAGACGCGCGCGUUGACUAAGUUUUCGUGAUUGAUUCGGAAACGUAGGGAUUCGACAGCGCCGAAAGGUCGCAACGUAGAUUCUGUUUCCAAUUAGAAAUUAUAAAGUUAUUUCGCAACAGGCGGGAUUCAACGUUUCAAUGGGGCAACCGGUUCCCUGUGCGAGAGGUAAAACAACAGGUUCGCAAUUAUUUUCAGUAUUCUUUGUCACGUUUAACCGGCGCGCGCCCCGUUCGGGUCGCCUGCAGCUUUUUCUCUCGAUUAUAUUGUUCGCAAUAAAGAUUUGUUCGCAUUACCGAUAAGAUUUAUGCGAUACCGCUUCUUGCUUCGUCGAGUGUUUGAAAAAAAAGAAGCCGCGUAUCGAUAUAAUCACGUGUUGCGACGCCCGAUUAUUCUGUCACUGCAUGAAUUAACAUCGAUCCCGCGGAACGGGUGCAUGAAUUUACACUUUUUCUUGUUUUGAUUGUAAUAUUUCACGGAAUUAAAAUGUCCUGCUCGAUCGUCUCCUCACGACGGAGACGCCGCCGAUAUCGAGAAUUUUCGAAUAAAAGAUUAUGCGAAAACCCGGUUUCUUCCCCCCCCCCCCCCGCGCGAUGUUGAUCGAAAGUUUCUAUAUUCUGCGAAAAAAUAAUAUGCUACCUCCGAGGUAAGAGUCCUCGAAAAUUGUGCCUCGGCAGCGGAUAAUUUCUCGAUCGAAACGGCGCGGCGCGCGGACUUUCCUCUGAAACCGCAAUAAAAAGAGAAACAGCUUUCACAGAAGCCUAAUACGGGACCGCGCAAGCAAAAAACGUGAGAAGUUCUGUCACGAGAAUCUCCUUUUCGGCGCAAAUUAAGUUUGAGGGUCGCUCGAGCCAGUGCUCGACCAUACCCCGACCAACUUCUCGACCCUCUGUGAUUCAUUAUUUCGUCCUCGCGAUAUGCUCGUGUUGAUAAACAUUUCCACGUUGACAAUUUGCAUUCCAGCAGGGUUUCGGUGUCUUAUUUCAUUCUCGCUGAUAUCGCAGCACCCUCGACCGCCGCCGGGAUCAUUAACGACGGCCAGAGGAAUAAAGAUCCGAUUUAUCAAACGUGGUCCAGUUUUAUGGCCUCCGUUAGGCUCGACCGAGCCGGCCGAGCAAUUAAACCCUUGAUAUUUCGCAAUUUCAUCGAUCGAACGUGACAGGAUUACGAUCAUCUGAUCCAGGAUCCGGCCAGACGAUCGCUUAAAUAUUUUCAUGGAUCCGCUUGAUACCUGCUAGGUAUUAUCCUAUCACGCGUUGAUCGAUUCUGGAUCUCGAGCAUAAAUCGUGUGCGGUCCGUUUAAUUCCGCGCCGCGAAAAUAAAACAGGAUAAUAGCGAUUAUCGGUAAUCGUCCGAACUUUACUUGCUCUUUUGUUGUUCGUUCUUUUCAUUGAUCACCGAUUUCCCUUAACAAACCCGAUCAUUUCGAUAACCUGCAUUCAAUACACGCGCAGGUCUUAUUUCUCCCGUUUUCCGCUUCGCGGUUCAUACACGGUUGAACCCUUUUUUCAUCGUAGAUCUCAACGUUAAAGCAAACACCGCGCAAAGAAGAAAAACUUUGGCCGUUCGCGACGGUGAGAUAAUUGCCAGAGGCGCGCCUGAUACGUGUAGCAUGACUCGUUUCACAAUUCACCGGCGUCUUUUCACGUGGAAACGAGAUUCAGGAAUCGUGACGCGGCGUUGACACGUAAACGCGAGCACGCGAAAUGCUCUCGAAGAAUCGCGCAAGAUUACCGGUGACACGGAGCGUACGCGUCACACGGUUAAUCCGGGCUUAAUCGGCUAAUUACGACGGGCGCCAUUGAUUGCUUAUCCGCGCGAGAGGAAGUGUCCUCCCGGGUCGGCCAGACAACUUCUAUAUAUAUAAUAAUAUUUCGCGGUGCACUGACUCAUCUAGCAUAGGCGUAUCGCCGCGUGCGGUGUUGGUAACGGCAGAAUACAUCACACAAAAUGUGAGAUGCUCGUUAGUCUCGUUCCAGGUAGCUCGUUAUCGCCGGUAGCACUGUGUCAAGUGUCACAUAAGUUAGCCCCAACACGUGACACCCGUGUAACGCCUAGUAAAGGAAGAAUUAUGAAAGAAGCGCGUCAUUCAGCCGUGGAAGAGCGAUCCGGAUCGCGGCGCGAGAAGAUCGCUACGCGUCAUUGGACGCCGGAGGACCAUCAACCAUCCCUCCAAAAAAAUAUCAAACAGCCCGGAUUCCUCUGUUCGACACGUUCCUCGCCACGUUGAUCUCGCCGAUCUUCGACAAUUAAUUUCUCAAAGAGUCGACGGAGCCGAUGAAUAUUACCGGAGAGGGUCAACGAGGGACGUUCUCUUUUGUUGAAAAAACGCCGGCUUGAUCGCGCAGCAAAUUACGCGACUGACUUUUGAUUCUGCCGAUCAUGAUGUUGCAUCGCGCAACCUCGCAGCAUCGAUUCGCGAACGAGCUUCUCGGUCGUUCGUAUUGAAUUUCAUAUCGCGGCCGAGUUAUUAAACGUCCGGCACGUUUGACGCAUCCCUCUUCCCCCGGUUUCGAUAUUUUUCGAAACAACGGGCCAAACACACCGCCGCCGAUGAGAGAAGAAGGAAACGCAGACAUUUUGUUGUUGGGUCGCCCAACGCGUUGCAACGAGCCGGGGCUUCAUUAAUCCGUUGCUCAGCCGUCUAUCGGAAAUUCAACACCAGCCUCCGGCGAACAAGAGACGCGUGUUUUGCUAAACAAGUGAAACCUCUUUGUUCCCGUUCCGCGAACGAGAGUCGACGAAAUUCCCCUUUUUAAAACUGUCAAUAACGGACUGCCGGACCUUUUGUCUUUCGACGUUCAUCGAUCGGAGUUCGCGCGGCUCACAACAGAAACUCGGAAUCGAGGGCGAGACCGGGCCCCCCUUUCGACUUCGGCUAAUUCUCUCCUUCGGCGGACCUACUCGCUGUUUUAGCCCCUGCGACUUUAUUCUAUUUUGCGCCGUUCCGCUCGCCCGGAGAGAAAGCAACUUCGUCGCCGAUGCGCUUUUACUCGACCCGAGUUUUACGCUCGACAAUGCUCAAACUGAUUUAUAAGCCCGCGAAUGGCCGUGCCGCGUCGAAGAGAAGUUUCCGAUCGAAGUUGCCGUUUGUUGCUGUUCAACGAAUUUAGAAAACUGUGCGCCCUCUCCACCCCCGUUCCCGGUAUACACGGAAGAAUCGGCGAGCAAUUUUCUCGCACGAAGUUCCGCGAAAAGCGCAGUUUUUCCGCGUCCGCGACGCAUCGGCCGUCCGCCAUCUUGGAUGCGCAAGGAUGUUUUCGAGUCCCAAGCGGAACGCAUCCGAGAAAUAUUCUAUUUAAGAGGAUGAUCGUUUGCGAAAGAUCGAUGCGGCGGUUUUAAUUGAACGGCGCGGCGAUCAUGAUCGAUUCAUGAAUCGUUUAGGACACGCAGGGUGAAUGCGGUGGAUCGAGUAACAGCAUGGGUGCCGCGGCUGCACGCGCUCCCGCGCGCCGAACGAGAUACGCAAUCGGCUCGCGGAUAGACUGCUAAAUGUUUACCGCGCUUUUAAGACGCACCUUGUAAGCAAAUAUGCACCGAAGGCCGCACCAACGGAGACGCGUUGAGUCUAUUUUUAAUUCGCGUGCGCGCUGCCAUUGUGCGUGCGCGCGAAACGUGAUAAUAACAUUAAAGAGGAGUAAUGGCGGCUUCGAUCCAUUACCCCCCUCGAACUUUCGACGAAUGGAACGACCUAUAAGAACUUUCUUCCGCGAACUUUCUCUCCUCGUCCUCCCCCGAUCCGUUCGGCUUCUCCUUCUUUCUCAUUGUUCCCGGCCCCCCUGCUGUUUGAACGUUCUACUGUACAAACAGCGUCCUCCUUCUUUCUUCUCGCGAGAGCAACGAUUCUUACGCUGGUAAUUCCAGGAAAUUGUUCAACACCUAAUGAACCCUUUUUUUCGAAUAAUUUAAACAGUCCGCUGCAGAUCGCGACGGCUGGAGUCCCGAGCGAAGAGAACCAAGUCUGAAGCGUCGUGCAAUUACUCUCGGCUUCUGAUUAACGGGAAUCCGUUAGGCAUGCCACCGGGGACCGCUAAGGAGACUAUAAUAAACGAAGCUGCGAACGGUCCGUGCAGAUCAAGCAUUCGCGGGAAAGGUCAACGGAAGGGGUUAAUUCGACCGUGCAGAGCGAGCAUGUUCAUCGUCGACUAUUUUUCAGGGACGAUCGAAUACGCUUCUGCAAUUUCUAUGGAAACACGCGUUUAAUCGGUGGCACCGGGAUGGCAGGUGCACCGGUUAUUGUUGAUAGCCCGGUGAAAACGGGAACGGUCCGAGCGCCGCGCCGCAAACAACUGAUUUAGACGGCGUACGUGAGCAUUGUGCGCGAUGAAAACGUGCCGGCUCGGAAUUUGCAUGAUAAAACGUCCUGAAGCGGGAUUGAAGUGCACGGUCCAACGAGCAUAAGUCACCGUGACAAGGAAGACCGGUGUCGGACCUCGAGAGGGACGUGUCUUCCUGUAAAGUUGCUCUGCUCCUCGACAAGAUCGUACCGUGAAAAGAUCUCCGGACCCGUUGACCCUAACUGUUCGAUCCAUCGGAUCUCCGUCAGGAUGAAUUGUGCACAGUUAGCGCCGGCUUAAGGCUUCCUGUUCUGCACCGCAGAACGGAAACAUCGUUACGGAAAGUUAAUGAACAGACUGUUAUGCGUUCGCGAGAUAAGCAAAGAACCCGCCGUGAUAAAAAUCCUCGCGAGGUCUGAUUAGUUUCCUACUAUCUUCGAGAUCGUAUAACCGUUCCCAAUUAAAUUAUAUAAUUUCUCGUUCGCGUUUGGAUGAUCGAAGACCAUGAAAGGUUUCACGAUCUUCCGUUUCCGCGCGCGUCGCGGAAUCCGUUCGCGGGGAUUUAUCGGCUGAAUCUGCGGCACGGUUGAAUUGGAUGGCCUGCGAUGGAACCAGUUCAGGACGUCUAAGAACGUCUAAUGACGACUCUUGAAUGGACAUUGAUGUCGAGGCACCUACGGCCGCGCAGAUAUCUCAGCGAUUCCAUGGCGCAGGAUGCUUCUUGCAAGAUUUUCUUUCGUUUACCGCGACGUCGAGCUGCUAGCGAAGAAACGCCGAGUGUUUCGAAUGCUGGACAGGUCUCUUGAAUCCAGAGCUCGGAAAGCCUUGAGAUCAUUGGAACUCCUGUGCGCGAAGAAAGUCACGAAAGCGUCCGUAGCCUUGGAGAUCUUGGAAAUCCUGCGAGUCCCGCGAUCUCGAUCACCGAGGCCUCGGGGAUCCAGAAAUUCUAGAAAUUCGCGGGAUGCGAGACAUCGCGGCUAAUUGGAAAAGUGUACGCGGCGACGUCGAUUUCUCGGACAAAGCUAAUUAUAAAGCGACGAUUGCGUGGAACAGAACUUCGAAAAGCGGCGUGACGAAGGCUCGUCGCCACGGUAAAGCCGUGUCUAACGCCACGUAAUCGAACACUGCGAAGCACCGAUUGCACACCUGAGCGCGAGCGAACCUAUCGCCGUCGCGAGCCUGCCGGUUUUCUAGGAAAUGUCAAAUUGUUACGGCGAACGCGACGACCACCGUGGCGAGAGAGCCUUUGAGUCACCGCGAGUCGCAAGAACGAGAAUGAAAAGCGAAAUAAAUAGAAUACUGACGAAAAUCGGCUGAUGAAAUCGGCAAUAAUCUUCGCUUCGCGCGUAGGUGCGACGCGAGGCUGCUGCUCGUUAAGCUACGAUCGUAAACAGGCCCAUUACAAUCCGCCAAUUAAAAGACUGCGACAGAGAAGACCGUGGUAGGUACAUAUGUAUGUAUAUCCAAGCAUUAAGAAUCUAUGAUUGCGAUGGAUAUUUUAUGAUACGGCUUCCUCGAAAACCACUUCUGCAUAAAUGGAAUGAUACUGAAACUAAA